UCAGCGGGAGCAAUUUGCGCAAACGAUUUUGGAUCUUUUUGUUCUUUUUGUCGUUAUUUCUCAUAUAUAUAUAUUUUUUUUUUCAU
rnacentral:ribozyme from 1 species